UCAGGUGGGUAGUUUGACUGGGGCGGUCGCCUCCCAAAAUGUAACGGAGGCGCCCUAAGGUUCCCUCAGCGCGAUUGGAAACCGUGCGUAGAGUGUAAAGGCAGAAGGGAGCUUGACUGCGAGACAGACAUGUCGAGCAGGUGCGAAAGCAGGGCUUAGUGAUCUUGCGGUUCUGUGUGGAAAGGCCGUGACUCAACGGAUAAAAGGUACUCCGGGGAUAACAGGCUGGUCGCGCCCAAGCGUUCAUAGCGACGGCGCGGUUCGGCACCUCGAUGUCGGCUCAUCACAUCCUGGGGCUGCAGCAGGUCCCAAGGGUUGGGCUGUUCGCCCAUUAAAGUGGUACGUGAGCUGGGUUUAGAACGUCGCAAGACAGUUCGGUCCCUAUCCGUUACGGGCGUAGGAUAUUUGAGAGGACCUGCCGCUAGUAUGAGAAGACCGUGGUGGACGAACCUCUAGUGUACCAGUUGUCGCGCCAGCGGCACCGCUGGGUAGCUAUGUUCGGAAGAGAUAAACGCUGAAAGCAUCUAAGCGUGAAGCUCGCCUCAAGAUAAGAUAUGCUGCAGAGUUAAUCUGGUAAGGCUCCUUUGAGACUAAGAGGUUGAUAGGCCAGAGGUGUAAGCGGUGCGAACCGUUUAGCUGACUGGUACUAAUAAGCCGAGGGCUUGAUAAC
rnacentral:rRNA from 1 species